AGUCAAGUAAUUAAGUGCAUGUGGUGGAUGCCUUGGCAGUCAGAGGCGAUGAAAGACGUGAUAGCCUGCGAAAAGCUCCGGGGAGGCGGCAAAUAUCCUUUGAUCCGGAGAUGUCUGAAUGGGGGAACCCACCUACUUUAAGGUAGGUAUUGCAACAUGAAUACAUAGUGUUGCAAGGCGAACGAGGGGAAGUGAAACAUCUCAGUACCCUUAGGAAAAGAAAUCAAUUGAGAUUCCCUCAGUAGCGGCGAGCGAACGGGGAUCAGCCCAUUAAGUUAUGUGUGUUUUAGUGGAACGCUCUGGGAAGUGCGAACGUAGAGGGUGAUAUUCCCGUACACGAAAGGGCACACAUAAUGAUGACGAGUAGGGCGAGGCACGUGAAACCUUGUCUGAAUAUGGGGGGACCAUCCUCCAAGGCUAAAUACUCCUGACUGACCGAUAGUGAACCAGUACCGUGAGGGAAAGGCGAAAAGAACCCCUGUGAGGGGAGUGAAAUAGAUCCUGAAACCGCAUGCAUACAAGCAGUGGGAGCACCUUCGUGGUGUGACUGC
rnacentral:rRNA from 1 species